rnacentral:rRNA from 1 species
GGGUAGAGUAACGCGUGAGUAACCUGCCUUACACAAGGGGAUAGCCUUUGGAAACGAAGAAUAAUACCCUAUAAAACCGUAAAAGCACAUGCUAGAAUGGUCAAAGUGAUAGCGGUGUAAGAUGGACUUGCGUCUGAUUAGCUAGUUGGUGAGAUAAAAGCUCACCAAGGCAACGAUCAGUAGCCGGCUUGAGAGAGUGUACGGCCACAUUGGGACUGAGACACGGCCCAG